AAGUUUCGACUCCGCCAGCUCAUCGACUUCGGGGUGUUUCCUGGUGCGCUUCGUCG
rnacentral:tRNA from 1 species